AUGACAGAUCUCUAUAACCCGAAUAAAAGUGAUUUCACAAGGAAGAGGGCCCUUCUUACAAAGACAGCCGUGUCUAUCGGGGUUUCAGGCCCCACUGAGAGCUCUGUCAUCUGCCAAACCAAAAAGAACAGACAGAAGGAGGUGCCUGGGGUCAGAAGCACCUCGCCGUGCGCACAGUACUUGAUUCUGGGUAGGAAGCUCCAGGACACCCGAGUUUGCAGAGGCCAGGGGCAGCACAGAGGCCAGGGGCAGCAGAGGCCAGGGGCAGCACAGAAGCCAGGGGCAGCAGAGGCCAGGGGCAGCACAGAGGCCAGGGGCAGCACAGAGGCCAGGUGCAGCAGAGGCCAGGUGCAGCAGAGGCCAGGGGCAGCACAGAGGCCAGGGGCAGCACAGAGGCCAGGGGCAGCAGAGGCCAGGGGCAGCACAGAGGCCAGGGGCAGCAGAGGCCAGGGGCAGCACAGAGGCCAGGGGCAGCACAGAGGCCAGGGGCAGCAGAGGCCAGGGGCAGCACAGAGGCCAGGGGCAGCAGAGGCCAGGGGCAGCACAGAGGCCAGGGGCAGCACAGAGGCCAGGUGCAGCAGAGGCCAGGUGCAGCAGAGGCCAGGGGCAGCACAGAGGCCAGGGGCAGCAGAGGCCAGGGGCAGCAGAGGCCAGGGGCAGCACAGAGGCCAGGGGAAGCAGAGGCCAGGGGCAGCAGAGGCCAGGGGCAGCACAGAGGCCAGGUGUGGCAGUGGCCACGUGCAGCAGACAGGGCACAUGCAAGAGAGGCCAGGUGCAGAAGAGGCCAAGUUCAUGAACAUGGCAGAAGCCAAGUUCAGCAGACAGGCCAGAUGCGGCAGAGCCAGGCGCGGCAGAGACCAGGUGCAACCAGAAGUUUCACGCGGCUACAUCUCCCGGGGGGGCUUUGCAAAUCCUCACCGGACGUUCUGCGUUGUGCUUCCGAAAAGCCACAGGGGCUUCCCGCGAACCGCAGCGGCGCGGGUGCAGGCGGCGACAGCUCCCACUGAAGGCCCCUACAGUGUCCGCAACGGACACUUCCCAGGGCAGGUGCUGGCGGCGGCUGGGACGGAGGCGCAGGGGAGUCCCGGUCACGCGGCGGCCGCUCCCCCGAAGCCCAGGGCGCCCGCCCGCUGGGCUCGCACGAGUUUCUGCAGGUCUCUCCCGCAGCCGCAGGGAAGUCUCUUUGCGGCGCUGGGUCCCGGCUUUCAGACAGAAAGGCUCAUUGUCCCGAAGUCCCCAGGCCGGUCUGACCGCUGCGGAGACGCCCCGACGCCCCGCCCCGCGCCGAACGGCCCAGCUGCCGGGCGGGAGAAGCCGGGACCGGGCGCGGGAGCCGGGAGGGCGGGACUCGCCAGAGAGGCAGGG
rnacentral:lncRNA from 13 species